AUUGAACGCUGGCGGCAGGCCUAACACAUGCAAGUCGAGCGGUAGAGAGGUGCUUGCAUCUCUUGAGAGCGGCGGACGGGUGAGUAGUGCCUAGGAAUCUGCCUAGUGGUGGGGGAUAACGUUCGGAAACGGACGCUAAUACCGCAUACGUCCUACGGGAGAAAGCGGGGGAUCUUCGGACCUCGCGCCAUUAGAUGAGCCUAGGUCGGAUUAGCUAGUUGGUGAGGUAAUGGCUCACCAAGGCGACGAUCCGUAACUGGUCUGAGAGGAUGAUCAGUCACACUGGAACUGAGACACGGUCCAGACUCCUACGGGAGGCAGCAGUGGGGAAUAUUGGACAAUGGGGGGAACCCUGAUCCAGCAAUGCCGCGUGUGUGAAGAAGGCCUGAGGGUUGUAAAGCACUUUCAGUGGGAGGAGGGUUGAUAGGUUAAGAGGCUAAUUAACUGGACGUUACCUACAGAAGAAGCACCGGCUAACUACCGUGCCAGCAGCCGG
rnacentral:rRNA from 1 species